UUGAACUUCCCUGCCAAACCAGGACGCCACGGAGCAAAGCAUGAUGGGAAAGAAGAAAUGACCUGGGAAGUCUCUCAGUUUGGGGGGGUGGGGGAGGAGGCUGGACACGUGAAGCCUGUCACAGCCUAGCCAAGCAACUUCUGCAGUCCGUGUUGAAAUCCUGCUGAAGAGAGGCUGGCUGCCAGGAGCUGCAGGCCUCCCAGAAAUGCCAUCCCAUGAUCCAUGGGCUCGUUUCCGCGCAUCAUGAAGAGUUUCACGAAAACAACGGGCACUGUCAUUUGAGGCCUGCGCUUUGACGGCUGCGCCAGGCCUUAGAAGAUGGCCGCUCAUUUGGAAUCUCCCCAGAAGACCUUUACCAAGUCAAAAGACACUCCCCAAACACCUGGCCCAACCCUGGUGGCUCCUGGUUUUACCUGAUCGGAUUACAAUCCCACCCAACACAGCUCUCGAACCACCCCAUAAUCUCGUGUUUCAGAGAGCCAGGAGGAGUUUCUUAGCAACCUUUUCAGAUGUAACCAAAAUGAAAAACUAAGCAAGGACCAGGGACCAAGAGCAAAUUCACCCCAUAAAGGAGCCAUUCCAGUAUGCAUAGGGCCUUCAGAGGUCCAAGAGGGAGAGAAACAUCUUCAGUGCUGAGAUGGGGUCAUAGACACAAGCUGCUGUCCCCAACCAAGUUUCUCCAAGGGACUCUCACCGAGUAUACAAAGCGUGCUGAAGGGUAGGCGCCAUUUCCAGCAGUAAGUGACCAACACAAAGCCAGCUCAAUGGUAUUUUUGAAGACUUUUUUUUCCCUCGUGUAUUGCUUUGUUUAGACUUUUUCCCCCUCUUUUAACCUUACAGGUCUUUUACUUCUAUAUUAUGGUUUCCAGUCUUUUAUGUUUCACUGCUUGGACCCCACUCCCACUCAUGUUACAAUUCGUAUCCCAAGGGAAGGACAUUAGAAGGCAGGGCCUAUAAGAAGAGAACAGCUCCUCAUGGUAUGGCCCGUGAUCAUGACUGGAAUGAGUGGGCUGAGAGACCUCGGUGUAUAGUACUUGGUUAUGGAAACCUGAAAGGAUUAAGACAGGAGACCUCAGUCACAGCCAGCUUCAGCAGAUGCUUGGUCAGACUCAGCUAGCAUGCCCGUCUUGAUCCAAGCCCAGGCUCUGUCACUAAGCACCACAAUCACAAAGGAAACGAAAUUCAAGACGAAGACUGUCCUGUGAGCUCAGCACAGGUCUAAGGAAAAAGCAGGCUCCCAUUAGCUCAUGAAGGUCCUCCUAGACAGCAGGCCACACUCAUGACCUCAGAGUCUCCUAAACUUAAUAAGGAUUCUUGAUGCUGACAGAUGCUCAUUGGGGGCCUGCUCACUUCCUCUAUGAUCUCCCUUUUCUGUCAUUAGUCAUUACCCAGACUGCCACGGUCUGUAUCCCAGAGUGACCUCACAUGUCACUCACCCACCUUUUAGCAUCUUUUAGCACCAAGUCCUCACCUUCCUGCCUGUUCCCGUAGCAGACAUCACUAGUGGACACUUCCUUCCUGUUACAACUGGAUUGAACCUUGAUCAGAAUCCUUAUUGACUCGGUACUCUAGGCAGCAAUAAUAGAGCUAGCAGAGUCCAUAUGUAAGAUGUGACUCACUUUAGCUAGCCCUGGUUGCCCCAGUUUUAGAAACAAGGAACAUGGAAAGCAGCACUAGGAAAGGGUUUGUAAGUAAAUGGUCAUCAUCAGUGUCUCAUCUAUCUCCAGGCCCAGGAUGCUGUGAUCUCUGUGACCUCCUAUCUUCUAAAAUUAGUUUCCUUUAGGGCUAUAAAGCAGGGGAGAAGAGGGUUGUCUCCUCACAGUGCUAGUCUCUCCUCCAGUGCCUGCCCCACAGACUCACUGUAGGCCAGAGUAGGCCUCAGUGUAGGAGCAGAAUGACUCCCUGAGAACCCUAAGGAAUGGGGAGAUCUGCUGGACUAUUGUAAGAGCAGCGUUACAAUGGAACAGUACUGGUUCUCCUGCAAACCUGUUCACCCUCCAGUAAGCAGACUAGGAAAAGGGAAGGCAGCUUCCUCCAUGGUCAAUUUCUGAUCUCCGUGCCCUUUAAUUAUAUGCAUGAUGGAAAUGUGUUCCCUGCAACCUGCUAGCUCAGAUAGGUCUACAGAUUCGCCCACCCAGCUGCCUGCAACUAUAUUUGCUGCUCAGAAAUGAUUUUGCAAGGAUCCAAAGAGACAGAGGUGACAGGCAGCCUGUGGUGUGGCUGCAGAGCCUUGACAAUAGACGUGUCAGCCGUGUACCAUGGCUGCUUCUAACUCCUAAGACUCCAGAUUCUGGGUGAUGGCGACUGCUGGGAUGGAUGGGAGAGGGCAAGCUCACUCUGAGGCUUUGUGUAGCCUGUGGUGCUUGAUGAUGAGUAGUACCAAGAGAGGUUUGUGCCUGUCUUAGAAGGGAGGGGCCUAAAGUGUGUGGCUCCAGUGUUGCUCUUCCCCAGGGAGAUGACAAAGAGCUCUAAGGCACUGGUGGCACCAUCGGCUCUGGAUACUGAUGCAGAUAUCUCUCUCUUUUGGUGACUGAGAUGGACUUUAAUUCUGACACCUGUAUUGUAUGGGCAGCUGCAAACUAUUGGAUCCCAGCUGCUGGUUCAGGUGUAAGUGGGGUGAGUGCGUCCCAUGGCUCAUGUCUAAAGUUCAGAGGACUGUCAGGUAUCAGUCUUCUUCAUGUCAUGUCACUUCACUAGCUGGUCUGUGAGCUCCCAGGAAUUCUCCCAUCGCCACCUCCCAUCUUUUUAUAAGAGAUCAGGGAUUACAGAUGCCGGCUACCACAUCCAGCUUCUGUGUGGGUGCUGGGGGUCUGAGCUUAGGACCUUGUGCUUGCUUGACACGCUUCUGGUCUCCAAGAAAGUCACAGGACAACCAUGGACAGUUUGGCUUCUCUCCAUGGAGAGAUCAGGUACUUCAACCACGUAGCAUAUCUGUGGUGGUUUGAAUGGAAUGACCCCAUAGGCUCUUAUCUUUGAAUGGCUGGUCAUUGGGGAGUGGCAUUACAUAAGAGGGAUUAAGAGGUGUGGCCUCGUUAAAAUAAAUGCAUCAUUGCGGGUGGGCUUUGGGGUUUCAGAAGGUCAAGCAAGACCCAGUGCCUCUCUCUCUUCCUGCUGCCUCUGGAUCUGGAUGUAGAAUGCUCAAGCUACCUCUCCAACACCAUGUCUACCUGCAUGAGUCAUGCUGCCCACCAUGAUGACUAUGGACUAAACCUCUGAAACUGUCUCGUGGUAGAGUGCUAGUCUCUUCACAUGCUUAAGGCUGUACAUUUAGUUACUGGCCCUGCAGGGGGGUGAGGGAUGGAGUGGAAAUGGGGAACGACACACCCUGCUCGUUGUUUUUGGCAUCUCCUAACACCCAGCUGGCAGGGUCGGUGUGCAGAUCCAGCAAUGGGACCCUGUACAACAUCUACCACAUGGUAGACACAGUGACGUGUCUUGUGUAGUGCAGCUGCUGUGCAUGGCAGAUCUUUGAACUGAAGUUUCCAGAGAAAAGCCACACCUACUGUAAAAGACUUCAGGACUGAAUGACUCCCGCUUCCCGCUUGUGGAGACCUGCAGGGGUCUGCAGUAAUAUUGGACUAUCUGUAAGUGCAUUUAGUAGCCAUUCAUUGUCUACUUCUGGUUUGAUCCAACAUCCCUUCAACUACCAGAUAAAACCUUUGGAACGUGUCCAUUUAACAGAUCCCCGUCCUCCACCAGCCUAAAAGCUAGGAAUGCCGUCGCGGAACAUCGGAACCCUGUGCUGGAGACUCCCCCGCUUCGCUGUGACAUACCUGUCUGCAGUCCUCAUAACUGUCUUUGGCAACACAGCCUGCUGUCCUUCUGUGACUAUGAAUGCUCGUGUAACUUCUUCCACUGUGGGACACACUAUUUGGGGCCACCUGAAUCUACAUUCCUAGGCCAUAGUCACUCAUGUUUGACUGAGAAUAAAUAAUCUCAUUCCCUUAAA